rnacentral:rRNA from 1 species
UACGAAGGGGGCUAGCGUUGCUCGGAAUUACUGGGCGUAAAGGGCGCGUAGGCGGGUCGUUUCGUUAGAGGUGAAAGCCCAGGGCUCAACCCUGGAAUUGCCUUUAAUACUGGCGGCCUUGAGUAUGGCAGAGGUGUGUGGAACUCCGAGUGUAGAGGUGAAAUUCGUAGAUAUUCGGAAGAACACCAGUGGCGAAGGCGACACACUGGGCCAUUACUGACGCUGAGGCGCGAAAGCGUGGGGAGCAAACAGG